AAAUCACUUGAACCCAGGAAGGCGGAGGUUGUAGUGAGCCAAGAUCAGGCCACUGCACUCCAGCCUAGGUGACAGAGUGAGACUCCGUCUCAAAAAAAAAAAAAAAAAUUAAACGACACUUAACUGUGAGUCAGCCCUUCCACUCCAAACUAUUUACCCACAAGAAAUGAUAGAAUAUAUCCAACAAAGACAGGUACAUGAAUGUUUAUAGCAGCUUUAUUUGUAAUAGUUCACAACGGAACAUGGUCCAAAUGUCCAUCAACAGGUGAACAGCUAACCAAACUGGUGCAUCCAAACAAUGGAAUACUACUUGGCAAUAAAAAGGAAUAAAAUAUUAAUGCAUGCAACAGGGAUGACUCGCAAAUCCUUAUGCUCAGCUAAGCAAGAAGCCAGACAAAACACAAGUACAUACUGUGUGAUUCUAUUUACAUACAUUCUAGAAAGUGCAGAUUAACCUGUAGUGACAGAAAGCAGCACAGUUGUUACUUGGGGAUGGGAGGCAAGAAGCAGGAGGGUGGGCUUACCAAGGGCAUGGGAAACUUUCCAGAGUGAAGGGGAUGGUGAUUAUCUUGAUUGUGGAAAUAGCUUCACGGGUGUACACGUAUGUCAAAAGUCAUCACGUACACAUUUUUAUAUGCAGCUUAUUGUAUGCCAAUUAUGCCUCAAUAAAACUGUCUUUCAACAAUACACACUAGAAGGCAGCAACUGCAAAGUGGCAAUUCCAGAGUUCUGUGCAGGACGCUGCAGUGAUUCCGCCCCACUUGUUUUCACCAUCUAGGGAAACGUCCUCUUCGUUUUUGGUCUUGUCUUUCAAGCGAGUUCUAUUUUUUCGGUGAUUACUUUUAAAUAUUUUUUAAAAAUUUUUUUCCUUUUUUUUUUUUUCUUUUUGAGACAGGUUCUCACUCUGUCACCCAGGCUGGAGUGCAGUGGCAAGUUCAUAGCUCACUGCAGCCUUGAACUCCUAGGCUCAAGCAAUCCUCCCACCUUAGCCUCCAGAGUAGCUGGGACUGCAGGCGAGUGCCACCAUGUCCAGCUAAUUUGUGUAUCUUUUGUAGAGACAGGGUUUUGUCAUGUUGCCCAGGCUGGUCUAGAACUCCUGGGUUCAAGUGAUCUGCCUGCCUCAGUUUCCCAAAGUGCUGGGAUUACAGACAUGAACCACCAUGCCCAAACUAAAAUUUUAUGACAUAAUAUUUGAUACAUACAAAAGGAUGUGUGGCACCUUAUGUGAGUUAGGAACUGAGUUAUAACUUAAAUACCCAUGAACCUACCACCAAACCUGAGAGCUAAGAUAUUACCAAUACCUUUAAAAAUUCCUGGGCUCCUUCCUUAUCCCAUCCCACACUCCUCUCAGGGACGACCAUCUCAGAUUUUGUGCUUUUCCUUCCCAUGAUUUUUUAAUAGGGUUGUAUCUUGGGCAUGUAUUGCUAAACAAUAGAUGGUUUCAUUUUGUUUUUGAGCUUUAUAAUAUGCUAUCGUACUGUGCAUAAAGUGCUGUUUUAAUUUACCUCUAAGAGUCAUCUAUGUUAUUGCAUUAUGUCUGUUACAGUAUUUCUGAUCCUCCUGACAGCCCUGCAGUUGGCUUUGGAUAUGGUAAACCUAAGGAAAGUAAAGCUCAGCGAGCUGGGGUGGCUCACCCAGUCCAAGGGCAGAUUGCAGGGACUCCUCUUCACCACAUCUUGUCCAUUCCCUUACUCGUGAGGGUCUCCUGAGCACUGGUAGUGAGCAGGUGCUGGACAUGCCACAGGGAACACGGCAGAUCCUCCGCCGUCCCGAAGCACACAUCAUGGUGCUCCCCUUGACUUUCACCAGGAUGACUCCGGGUUUCUGCCCAUGGAGGGGCAACUGGACAGCAGCUAUCACCACGGCAUAUGUAGCCACCGCUAACUCAUUAAUGCUGCUUCCAGGAACUUAUCUUCUAGAAGUGCUUGAAUAUGUACAGAGGGGCACUAGCCUAAUAAUAUUUAUUGCAGCAUUGUUUGUAAUAUAAAAGUAGUAAAAACAACUCAAAUUUCCACCAAUAGGGAUCUCACUGCAGGUCAUUAACAUUUGUUAUGGGAAACAUACACAAUGGAAUACCACUAGCUGUAAAAAAAAAAAAAUUUUUUUUUAAAGGGAGAUCUUUAACGCAAAACUCUCCAGGAUAUAUACAUAUCUUUUCAGGGUGCAUGUGAUAAUUUAAUACAUUCAUAUUCUCCAGGAUAUAUAUAUAUUUUUUUCUCUUUUUUUUUUUUUUGAGACGGAGUCUUGCACUGUCGCCCAGGCUGGAGUGCAGUGGCAUGUUCUAGGCUCACUGCAACCUCCGCCUCCCAGG
rnacentral:lncRNA from 1 species